rnacentral:ncRNA from 1 species
AUCCUUCGGGUCUGUGGUUGAAAACCGAUGCCAGUCGCAGGCAAAGCGGUCCACGUAAUCCGCCCAAAGCGGCGGGGAGCAUGGUGCGGUCUAGAUGUAAGUCCGUCCGGGACAACGAUCCCGAGAGAAGCGAGUGAGGGCGCGGACAGCGCAGAGCAGACUUCCAGGCGGCGUGUGUGGGGUCAAAGACCAGGUCAGCCGGAGGAA